GCUCUUUGUUUUUUGAAAUGAUGCUUUUAUGAGAUAGAGCUUUUUUAGAUAAUGCUUUUUUAGAUAAUGCUGGGGAAGGUUUUCCGGUUUAUCUCGGAGGGCUUGUAGCUCAGUUGGUUAGAGCGCGCGCUUGAUAAGCGUGAGGUCGGAGGUUCAAGUCCUCCCAGGCCCACCAAUUUACCUAUCCAUUUGCCUUUAUCCGUUUAUUUGCCGAUUUAUCGGUCCAUUGAAUUUAAGUGUUGGUAGCGGUUUUUAUAAUGAUGAGAAAUCAUGCUUAUAAAAGAACUCCUUAUAAAAGGCUUGUUUUUAAAAUGUGACGCUUAUCCAUUUCGCUUAGGCAAGAGAAACUUCAAGCGGUUCAAAUGCAAAAGGCUUUAAAUUUUGCAAAACACUUUGAAUUUUAAAGUGAUCCAAGUUCGUGAUCUCGAAUUUGAAAGUUUCGAAUGCUUUAUCCUUUUUUGGGGGCCGUAGCUCAGCUGGGAGAGCACCUGCUUUGCAAGCAGGGGG
rnacentral:misc_RNA from 1 species